rnacentral:rRNA from 1 species
AUGGGCGGCGGCAACGCGCAGAAGUCCAAGAUGGCGAGGGAGAGGAACCUCGAGAAGCUGAAGGGCGGCAAGGGGAGCCAGCUCGAGGCCAACAAGAAGGCCAUGAACAUCCAGACGAAACUGUUAUCUGUGGAAUUUGUUGAAAUUACGCCUUUAACUGGGACGGGAUGCGUGCCUCUUCAGUUGCAACGACGAUUGGUAGCCUAUUUCUCGAUAGGACUCUGGGUGGAUGGUUUUUUCUUUUUUGUGCGGCGAUUAUCGUGCAAGAUAUGCAUGCAGACUUUCAUCUGCACCACCUCUGAAGCAAAGUGCAAGGAGCAUGCCGAGGCAAAGCAUCCGAAGAGCGAGCUCGUCCAGUGCUUCCCUCACCUCAAGCAGUGA